AUUGAACGCUGGCGGCAGGCCUAACACAUGCAAGUCGAGCGGAUGAAGGGAGCUUGCUCCUGGAUUCAGCGGCGGACGGGUGAGUAAUGCCUAGGAAUCUGCCUGGUAGUGGGGGAUAACGUCCGGAAACGGGCGCUAAUACCGCAUACGUCCUGAGGGAGAAAGUGGGGGAUCUUCGGACCUCGCGCUAUCAGAUGAGCCUAGGUCGGAUUAGCUAGUUGGUGGGGUAAAGGCCUACCAAGGCGACGAUCCGUAACUGGUCUGAGAGGAUGAUCAGUCACACUGGAACUGAGACACGGUCCAGACUCCUACGGGAGGCAGCAGUGGGGAAUAUUGGACAAAGGGCGAAAGCCUGAUCCAGCCAUGCCGCGUGUGUGAAGAAGGUCUUCGGAUUGUAAAGCACUUUAAGUUGGGAGGAAGGGCAGUAAGUUAAUACCUUGCUGUUUUGACGUUACCAACAGAAUAAGCACCGGCUAACUUCGUG
rnacentral:rRNA from 1 species